rnacentral:rRNA from 1 species
GAUGAACGCUGGCGGCGUGCCUAAUACAUGCAAGUCGAGCGAAUGGAUUAAGAGCUUGCUCUUAUGAAGUUAGCGGCGGACGGGUGAGUAACACGUGGGUAACCUGCCCAUAAGACUGGGAUAACUCCGGGAAACCGGGGCUAAUACCGGAUAACAUUUUGAACCGCAUGGUUCGAAAUUGAAAGGCGGCUUCGGCUGUCACUUAUGGAUGGACCCGCGUCGCAUUAGCUAGUUGGUGAGGUAACGGCUCACCAAGGCAACGAUGCGUAGCCGAACUGAGGGGGUGAUCGGCCACACAGGGACUGAGACACGGCCCAGACUCCUACGGGAGGCAGCAGUAGGGAAUCUUCCGCAAUGGACGAAAGUCUGACGGGGCAACGCCGCGUGAGUGAUGAAGGCUUUCGGGUCGUAAAACUCUGUUGUUAGGGAAGAACAAGUGCUAGUUGAAUAAGCUGGCACCUUGACGGUACCUAACCAGAAAGCCACGGCUAACUACGUGCCAGCCGCCGCAGUAA